rnacentral:rRNA from 1 species
CGCGUAGGCGGUUUGUUAAGUUGGAUGUGAAAGCCCCGGGCUCAACCUGGGAAUUGCAUCCGAUACUGGCCGACUAGAGUACGAGAGAGGGAGGUAGAAUUCCACGUGUAGCGGUGAAAUGCGUAGAUAUGUGGAGGAAUACCGGUGGCGAAGGCGGCCUCCUGGCUCGAUACUGACGCUGAGGUGCGAAAGCGUGGGGAGCAAACA